rnacentral:rRNA from 1 species
GUGGAUUAGAUACCCUGGUAGUCCACGCCGUAAACGGUGGGCGCUAGGUGUGGGGAACAUUCCACGUUCUCCGUGCCGCAGCUAACGCAUUAAGCGCCCCGCCUGGGGAGUACGGCCGCAAGGCUAAAACUCAAAGGAAUUGACGGGGGCCCGCACAAGCGGCGGAGCAUGCGGCUUAAUUCGAUGCAACGCGAAGAACCUUACCUAGGCUUGACAGUUGGGGAAAUCUGGCAGAGAUGUCAGGUCCGCAAGGGCCCCAAAACAGGUGGUGCACGGCCGUCGCCAACU